UUCCAAACACCCCCGUCUAUCAGAGAACACAAGCCUAACCCCAGCAGUCAGGAGCCCGCCUAAAGAGUAGGGAAUACUUUCAAGCGCAACAGUCAGGAGCCCACCUGGAGAACAAGGGAACACAAUUUAAGUUUUUAGCUUUCUUGUCUAUUUGAAGUCAGGAGCCCGCCUGGAGAGCAGGGAAUACUUUCAAAUGCAGCAGUCAGGAGCCUGCCUGAAGAGUAGGGAAUACUUUCAAGCGCAACAGUCAUGAGCCAUACUGGAGAACAAGGGAGUACAAUUUAAGUUUUUAGCUUUCAAAUUCUUUGUUUUGUCUAUUUGAUGUCAGCAGCCCGCCUGAAGAGCAGGGAAUACUUUCAAAUGCAGCAGUCAGGAGCCCGCCUGGAGAACAAGGGAGUACCAUUUAUGUUUUAGCUUUCAAAUUCUUUGCUUUGUUUAUGUUGAAGUCAGGAGUCCGCCUGAAAAACAGGGAAUGCAUUUCAAGUCAGUAGUCAGGAGCCCGCCUGGAUAGCAUGGGAAAUACAUUCGCAUUUUGAAGUCAGGAGCCCGCCUAGAUAGCAGGGAAUACAUAUCAAGUUCAGCAGUCAGACACCCACCUGAAGAAGGGGAAAACAUCUCAGUUUACAAUUUAAGGUGGCAACAAACGGAUGUCUACGAAAGAAUGGAGAACAACAAGGCAACAAAAAGCACAAGAUCAAGUUUGAAGAUAUAGAUAGGACUUUUGUAAUCCAUAGAUCAUAGUCUAGUCUAGCUUCUUGUUUUAUUUUGACAUGGUGUAAUAAGGAGGUUCAGUAAGUAGUAGCAGCAGCAGCAGCAGUGGAAGCCCAAAUUCAUGGUAGUCCCAGCUACCAAACAUUCCUAAACUACACUGACCUGAUUCCUUUUUAGUGAAGGAUUUGUAGGUAACCUCGGAAGUAGGGUGCGGUCAAAUCUUUCAAAAAUGCUUCACGCGGAGUAUUCAAACGGACAAAAAUCACUCGUAUCCGCUCACUUAUCUUUGCACAAAAACUCUUCGUGUUUUCGGGCAAAGAGGGGCAGCUGAGAGCACGUGAUUUUUGCCCUAUAUGUAUUACUCCAACAAAUUCAAAACAAAAUAAUUUCUUUCAGUGUUUGCAAUUUUGGGGGAUUUGCGUGGCAUUUUCUGGUAAUUGUUUGCAUUUGUCUGUGCAUUUUUAUUUUAUUUAGUUAAUGAAAAUUACAAGAAAUAUGUUGCAUUUGCAUUUAAGAUUUAACUUUACAUUUUUAGGAUUAAUUGACAAAUUAUUUUAUAAAAAUAGGGAAAAAUCACAAAAAAUAGUUUAUUUUGCACUUUUAAUUUUAAUUUUGAAUUUUAGUAGUUUUUUCCUUUAAUUUGGUUUUUAAUUAUUUGUAGUAACAGUUAUUAGGGCUAGUUAAUUUAAUAUGGUAGGAUAAUUUGGUUUAGAAUUUAAUUUAAGUUUUAAUUUUAAUUUUGGAAAAUAGAAAAAAAAAAAGAAUUGUGAAAUUGAAAAAAAGAAAAAGAAAGAAAUAAGAGGGUUUAAAUCUAGGCCAAAAUCAACCCAGAUUUCCCCAGGUCAAACAUAAUCACCCAUGCACCCUGCCGAAACCCACGCCUCACCCGGUCCAAACCCCCCAACUAAGUCAAACGACGCCGUUUUUUUCUUGUUGAUCUGGACCGUUGAUCUCAGUUGAUCAAACGGUCCGCAACUCAGCCCUUACCUGAUAUAUAUCUGUCCUAAUGCCCUACCCCCCAUUUCAUCAUUCCAAACACCCCCGUCUAUCAGAGAACACAAGCCUAACCCUAGUUGAGCCGCCCCUAAAUCCGCCAUCGUCCGGUGGCGGCACCACCUCCAAACGCCACCAAAACAACACCCCAUGACCCCCCACUCCCCUCUUUCUAAAUUCCGGACCAAUUUCCUUCGAAUCUGCCCAGAACUUCUCGAAUCUUGAUCUGAAGAAAAGAACCCUAAAAUCCCAAAGUCCAAAUCAACGGGUGUGCUAAAGAUUUCAGACUGUAAUGGACUUUAUUCGGGUUUUUUCACAUGAAAACACACGAUUAAGGGCUAUUCCGGUCAGGAAUUUGAAAAGCCCUUCAAAGUUUGUCGAAUCGGCUCCUGGCUGGUGUUAGGUAUCUUCUUUGUUCGUUUUGUUUAUUUGUUUAUCUUUUCUUUUGUGUUUCUGCUUCAUCUCUUCUUCUGGGUUUUGUUUAGUUGUUCCGGAGUUUUGUUAUUCAUGCAUGAUUAGUUCGGGAUCCUUUUUUAAUUAGUUAAUCGUCUAGUAGUUCAGUUAAUUCCCUCUAUUUGUGUCAGUUAGUAGUAAUUUAGUUUAGGGUCUUAGUUUUAAAAAUUGUUCCAGUACUUGGAUGGUUCUGUCUCUCAGAAGCUCAUAGAAUUUAGGGUUGUUAAUGUACGAAUUGGGCUUUAGUCUGUUGUUGACCCAUCUCGAAAAUGUAGCCCAUUUAAUUUGGUCUAUAUCCUUGGGUCUAUUUGACCCGUUUGGAUUUCUGAAGUAAUUUUCAAAGGGUUAAGGGGUAAAUUAGGUAAUUGAUUUAGGGAAUCUAGGGUGUAACUGUUUGGGAAGCUUCUGGGAAGCUGGGGAGGGGACUACUUUGCAAAAGCAGAAUUUAAACUAGGGGUGUUUAAGCUAAAAGGAAAAUCAAAAAAGGGACCAAAGGGCAAAAAUGAACUCUUAAGGCUGCCCUGUUUUCUUGCCUAUAAAGGCAUCAUUUUCUUGCCUUUCAAGGCAGACCCAGGAGACUUGAAAAAGAAUAAAAAUUCUAGAAAACAAAAACAGCUGAAACUUCUACAGAGAAUACUGUUUCAUUGGGUUUUAGCUUUGUAAUCUGAAAUCCUCUUCUUUCUGAAUAGAUGUUCCUGAUUGUUUGAGCUUAGAAAUGGUUUGAAACUUAGUCAUUAAGGUUGGUUCUGAGGGCAGCUAGUUUAAUUGUGUGUUUGAGACUGGUUUCUGGGCUGCAAUACUUCAUUUCUGGGCUUUUGAACAUGUUUUGUUGGUCUGUUUCUGUUACUGGAACCUGCUGCUGAUUCCGUGUUGUCUACUGCUGAUUUUCCCUUUUUCUUAUUUCGUUUAAUUCCAGGUAUUCCUUGAUUCUAUAGGAGAUAAAAUGCAAGUAUGAGAGCUAUAAUUACAUGAAGAUCUCCAUGAAUGAAUACUGUUUUCCUUUUUUUAAUCAUCAAUAUUAGCUGUUUACUUGGAAUUUCUGGAGUUUAGUGGUAUAUUAUAAUGGCAUUUAGCCUAAUCUGUCCAUUUUAAUAUAACAGUAGUAUGUUACUCCUUAGAAAACUCAUGUUGCCUUUCGUUUGUGAUGAAAACACAUGGUCUGAUGGUUUGAUUGUAUGUAAGUAGUUCAGAACAUUUGGAUCUUGUAUAUAGGGACUGUGAUUUAAGCCAUUCACUGUUUGUUAUGCAUAUUUUCAAGCAUGUGGUUAGACUCUGUUGAGUUUUAGCUUAUUAUUUAGUUUUUGUCUGAAAUCAGAAUGCAUGCGAUUAAAAGGGGUAACUGCCUGCUUUGGUGGGAAUAAAAUUUUAUGAAUACUGGUCUGAUUGGCAUAAGUCUCUGGGUACUCAAGGUAAUUGGGUGCAUGCAUUGGGUUGAGAAUGAAUUUUUGACUUGUUUAGAUAUGUAAAAACUUUCUAUGGUAGGAUAAGGUCAAAAUGCAUUACUCAUUAUGAUACAAGUUUAAAACUAGAUCAAACAUGCUGUCCAUGAUGAGAAUUCCAUUGUCAUUGCUUGCUAAGAAAAACGAGCCCAGAGGUUGUUUGCACACAUAUUGGUUUUUUUUAUUGUUGAAUAUCGCUGGUUUUUGGCCAGCCGAGACUCGAUACUGAGUUCUCCACUCAGACCUGUUGAGGCUUCGAAAUUGGGCUCAUUUAUGGGCCCAAGCUUAACAGCUUCUUUCGAGUAUGAUUUCGGUCGUAAUUGCGGCCCAGUCAUGCCCAGGCCUUUCACUAGCCUUUCUGGCUCUGGACUUCACAUAGGAAGCCCAUUUGUGGUCUUUGAUUGUUAAUUAAACGACCAUAGGGAACUUUAACUUCAUCGAGUGCUAAAUAAUUCAGCCUUUAAAACAAUUGAGGUGAACGAUGUUAAUGACGCCAAUAGUUUAUGGCCCUCAUAAUUUUAAAAAUAAAAAUUUUAGGCAAUUAGAUUUGAGGCGUGCCAUUUAGCGAUUUCCCAGGGCCCUCGUAAAAUUAAAAUGCGUAGUCGCUUUAGGGCGCGUUAUUUAAUGAUUUUACUUUCUUAAACUCGGGUGCGCAUUUCAUGUGACCCAAGUCAAAUCUUAAAAUAUUGAAUGAAAUAUAUUUAGGACUGCGGGUGCAUUUCAUGUGGUGCGAUCCAAAGACGUGUUUUAAACGACGUUCAAUCUUCUUUUUAAAAUAAUUAAAAACGGUUAAAAGUUAAAAUUAUACCAUAUGUUAAAACAUGUACUAAAAUCAGAUAAUAGACCAAUUAUAACAGUUGAGCGACCGUGCUAGAACCACGGAACUCGAGAAUGCCUAACACCUUCUCCCGGGUUAACAGAAUUCCUUAUUCGGAUUUCUAGUUCGCGGACUGUUAAACAGAGUCAACCUUUUCCUCGAUUCGGGAUUUGAACCGGUGACUUGGGACACGAUAAAUCUCUCAAGUGGCGACUCUGAAUCUUUUGAUAAAUAAAUCCCGUGUCGAUUCUCCUUUAAUUGGAAAAACUCUUUUUAUACACCCCUCUCGGGGGUGUAGGUGAAAAAGGAGGUGUGACAACCAGUUUUGAUGGAACAGGGGGAACAUGACUUUUUGAACACAUUGGCUUAUUUUUUUUUGUCUUUUUUUUAAAAAAAAAAUUCGGUAGAGUUUCGGAUUUCAAAUACCUACCUAUCACUCUUUUUUUUCAUUUUUUUUCUUUUCCUAUUCUAGAAGCCAGUCAACAUGCAAGCCGAAACAAAAAAAUGCACAGGUAACACGUAAAAUGCAUCAGGAUAGUUUUUUUAAUUUGGGCACACCUGUCCUAGACGGAUCCAACCCCUGCGUUGAGUCCCCAAAGUCAAAUGCAUGUGAUGCAAACAAACGUUCCUACUAGGAAUCCAACAUGAGGCUAUGUUAUUCUAAGAUUAAAUCCUGGAGUGUAUUGUUCUAGACCUGGCUUACCCGAGCGGACAACUCGAGCCGAUGAGGGGCAGUGUACAGGGAAUAUAGAAGCUUCACCAGCUUUGCAACUUAUCCGAUCCUCGUUCUAAAAUUAGGAUAUGACUCCAACAGAAAAAAAAGUCAUGCCAGAGUACACUUCCCAGAAGAUUUUGAAGACUCAGAGAGAAGAAGGGUUUCGUAACAGUUUUAUAUACAGUUCACAUAAUAUCAAAGCGGCAUUUAGCAUAUUAGGAUCAAACACGUAAAAAUCAGAUAAUAAGCAAAAGCAAAGUAUCACAGUUAUUCUAAAAUCGAAUUAUGAACCAUGAACCAGAGAUUCUGGGUUUGAUUCUCCCAGCAGAGUAGCCAGAUCUGGCACACCUCAUUUUUCCCGAGGGGUAGGGAGUUUUUUCAAUUAAUGUAUCAUUGUUCGAAAUGAGAUUAUUUAUUGAUUCAGAGUCGCCACUUGAAAUAAUUUAUGGUGUUUCAAAUCACCGAUUUAUUUUAAAUACCAAAUCGAGGAAAUUUGACUCUUAUUUAUGGUCUGCGAAUACAGAAGACCGAGUAAGGAAUCUUGUAAACCCGGGAGAAGGUGUGAGGCACUCCCGAGUUCCGUGAUUUUAGCACGGUCGCUCAACUAUUAUUAAUUGGCCUAAUUAUCUAAAUUAUUAUAUGGUCAGAACCUAUUGUGUAUUUUUAACUUUCUAACCGCUUUUAUUUAACCAUUUUUAGUAUUUAUGGAAUAUGUUUGAAUAAGCCGCGAUGUCGCGCACUCAUUUGUUUUUGUAAAAACUGCGAAUCCAUCACGUGAAAUGCACCCACGAUUUACAACAUGUUUAUUUUAUUAUUAUCUGAUGUUAUGGUCGAGUCAUGUGAAACGCACACUCGAAUUAGGAUUUUGUAUCAUGACUAUGCCACGGGAACCGUACCCAUAGUCACGAUGAUUUAUUAAUUGCGCAUAAAUCAAGCUUGAUGUUCAUGAAUAAUUAUUAUUCCUAUGUUUAAGAUCGAUCAUGAAGGUCCAAAGUUUAUGGAAAAGCAUAUGGCAAUGCUUAACUAGACAACUUCAAUUAUUUAACAAGUUCAAAUUAAUGUCUUUUGUUUUUCCUUCAAAUGUUGAUGGAGCUCACGUCAAACAAGGAAAACCACUAAUAAUAAACUAAGUGGGUGUUCUUUUCUUGAUUACUUAUAUCAAACAUGGAUUAUUGCUAGAAAAAUUAUGGGAAGCCUCACUGCGCUGGGCCUUCAUAUUAAACCUCCAAUUAGGUCAUGCAAACAAGAACAGAAAUGGGUUCACUGGAAUCCGAAAGUGACUCUUGAAAAUGGCUAGCCCUUUAAGUAGGCCAACAAAUCUUUUGUGGGGCCUUAAACCAUUAAUCCAUACAUUUGUCGAGUCCAAACUGACUCUCAUUUCAUACACGAUCCAUCGACGUGUAGUUUUCUUAACGUGAUUUUGAAAGGCAUAAAUCAAUUAAUACACAUGUUUAUACUACAACAUAUUCAAUAUAUUGAAGAAACAGAACCAAAGAAGAACGUAUCCACACAUGUAAUUUCUUCUAACAAACUACAGUAUCAUUCAUUAUUACAUUCACAAUUACCAAGAUCUAGAGCAUAUAACAAAUUUACAUGCUUUCAGUUCCAUAUGACCUUCAACGAAUGACCUUCAGCUAUCCAAAUUUCCUAUGACUUUACCUGUUUCUCAUUAAAGAUUUAUCCAAAUACUUAAUUUUUCUAGUAAUUUCAGAGAUUAAAAAAGGAAAGAACUUCAAAUAGAUUUAGACUUUAGACAUGUUGAAUCCAAACUAUUGAACAUGAUUAGAGAAAGCAGUAUCAUAAUCUUAACAUGGAAACAAUUCAAAAUGCUUAACAACUACACAUGCUAAGUCUAUGCAUUUGGACAUAAUUAUGACAAAUAGAUCGAAUUUUCUCAUAUAGACUUCAAACAGGGGCAACAGAUAUGUGAACAUACCUAAGUAACCAAAGAAUAACAGAGAAUGGUCAAAGGAUGGUUUGAAAAUGAAAUAGGAAAUCCAGCAAGUCCAGCAGCAGUGGAUUCAAUAACUUCAACACCUCUAACAGCUCAAUCGACUCAGAGAAAACCAGAAAAUAUAGUGAUUGAAUAGAAAUCAGAAAACCAACUCUAGACAUCCUUCUUCAUCCCUUUUUAUGACCUUUUUCCUUGCCUUUUUGGGAGUUUUAAACUUUUUCUAAAUCUGAAGACUAGAGGUUGAAAUCCAGAGUUUUGUUUGAAUUAAAAAAAAUGAGGAGAAGAUAGUGAAUUCUCUUAAAAUUUCUCUCGACAGUGUGAAAAUUUGUCUCAAAAACGAAGAAAAGAGUAUGAAUUUCAGAGUGUGUUUUCGUGUGUGUGAGUGAGUAAUAUAUGGCCCUCUUAUAUAGAGUGUGAGAAUAUGUUAU
rnacentral:lncRNA from 1 species